UCUUUGACUAUUUUGGUUUAUUACUCUAUUAUCCCUAUAUAUUACAUUUUAUAAAUCAUACAAUAGAACAGUAAUCUUUUUUUUUUUUUUUUUUUUUUUUAAUAAAUGUUCUUCAUUUUCAGUCUUUAUGACGUCCUAUUCCUGCACUUUCCAUUUUGAUUGGAUGAAUCAUGUGCCAAACAUGCUCCAAAUAAGAGAUGAGACAAAGGCCAAAACUACAGAUAUUUUACUGUUACUCGAAUUCAUAGUGGACAUGGGAUUAUGAUAGGGAGCAAUUCAUGAACCUAUUUGCAUCUUACCUGGUGUGCACACUAGACGACCAUUUUGGAGCAGGAAAGAAGGGAAUGGGGCUUGACAUGAGCCAAUAUGUGCCUUGAGGCGGGGAAUGUUGGGAUGAGCACUACGACAUCUAUGGCAACGCAACUCCAUUGCGAGCACCUUUUCAUCAUCAUUCAAGAUGCUUUGAGUUGAAAUCUUGGCUGAUCACAUGAAGGUGCAGUUGUCGCAUUGAGGGGACCUGCAGGAAGGGACGCGUGAUAUCACUGAUAUGAAGAAACUCUUCUGCCCACUUCAGUCCAACUGCAUGCAUUGUCUUAAGCAAUGGGAGAUGCUCCUCGGAAACAUCCGCCAGACGAUCAAGACCUUCAACUCGUGCCAACACCAACAGGUGCUUUUGUGCCUGCCAGAAGAAUGGACUUCACUUUUAAAAAGACUCAGGAUGCAUGGCGAUGUCAUAAAGAGCUUGUGCCCAUGAUCCCCAAGUUUUGGUUGUAUGCUUUUCAUCUUUUCUCUCAGGGUUGUUGCUUGUAACAAGAGGACACUUGGUGUUGGGUCCAAGUUCUUUUGAAAAGCUUUUAUAUUUUUUGCUUCUCUCAGGUUCAAAAGCAGCUUCCCUCUUAGCCUUCUGAUCACCAUUCUGAGUACCUCUGCCCUGUUGAUCUUGUGAUUUAAAUGGAUCCUCAGAACUUUCCUUGGAGAACUCUCUAUGGGUCCUCAGUAUUGAUGCAAAUCCAUCAAAAAGUGAUGAGUAGGCUUCAGAAAGAAUCUUGCAGCCCUUGACAUAGUCAUUGUUUAGACAAUUUGGUCUCUUGGGAUUCAUAUUUGGUCCAAGAACAUGUAUCACAUGAGUUACACCUUCCCUACUAAACAAGGGUGAUGAUGAAGGGAGAGGAACCACAACAGCUUUUCCAGGUGCUAGGGAUCCAAUUCUUUCUUUGGUUGCACUUUCCAAGGCAAGACCUGCGGCAUUAAAUAUAGCAGCAUUUGUCCCUCCGCCUCCUGGUUUAAGUCGCCUGCACAAAGCUAAUCUUUAGAUCAUCUUUCUAACAAGCAAAUUUACCAGUGGUUAUAGGGAUAUAAUCAAUGAAAUUAUUGGUUUCUCCCUUUAACAACUGAUCAUGAGGAGACAGACCUGUACACAACAAGUAAUAAUGUUUAUAAUGUUUACCAGUUGGCAGCAUUAGCAAUUA